rnacentral:rRNA from 1 species
UGGCGGACGGGUGAGUAAUGUCUGGGAAACUGCCCGAUGGAGGGGGAUAACUACUGGAAACGGUAGCUAAUACCGCAUAACGUCGCAAGACCAAAGAGGGGGACCUUCGGGCCUCUUGCCAUCGGAUGUGCCCAGAUGGGAUUAGCUAGUAGGUGGGGUAACGGCUCACCUAGGCGACGAUCCCUAGCUGGUCUGAGAGGAUGACCAGCCACACUGGAACUGAGGCACGGCCCAG